rnacentral:rRNA from 1 species
GACGAACGCUGGCGGCGUGCUUAACACAUGCAAGUCGAACGAAAAGGCCCUGCUUUCGGGGUUCUGACGUUGCGAACGGGUGGGUAACACGUGGGUGAUUUGCCCCUUACUUUGGGUUAGGCCUGGUAAACUGGGCCUAAUACUGACUGGAUCCUUUCUUUAGGUGGUGUGUUGGAAAGUUAAGUUCCGUUAAGGGUUGAGUUCUCGUCCUAUCCGCUUGUUGUUGGGGUAUUGGCCGACGAAGGCGUCGCCGGGUAGCCGGCCUGAGAGGGUGGAAGGCAACAUUGGGACUGAGAUACGGCGCAGACGCCGACGGGAGGCAGCAGUGGGGAAUAUUGCAAAAUGGGCGCAAGCCUGAUGCAGCGACGCCGCGUGGGGGAUGACGGCCUUCGGGUUGUAAACUACAUACGGCCAUGACGAAGCCCUUGUGGUGACGGUAGUGGUAGAAGAAGCACCGGCUAACUACGUG